CCAGGUAACACGGUGUCAUUGGCAGGUGG
rnacentral:piRNA from 1 species